AGUGACGUAGUGAAAAUGUCAAAAAAUUACAUAACCUACACAAAUUUGAAAUAACGUCAACUUAUGUUAUAACAUUCUACACUGUUAUUACUAACUACUCUGCCAAACCAUUACUUAAACCAACAAUAAAUAUAUCAUUGAGUAAAACAAUGUAAAAUCGUCGUGGAAGACAUACUGCAGCAGCCCAGGCACUGAAAAUGCAAAGAAUGCGUCUUAAUUGCAUCCUCGGUGCUUUUAUUCCAGGCGGCGAAGCAGGCCUCUUAAUGAAUGUAAUGCACCGGCACCGGCUCGGCCAGGUAGAGUGCAACCGAAUACCGUUAGGACACCGAUAGGCCGAUGCACGCCGGUCGCGGCGAACGUGUCGAACCUGCUAAACGAGCGCAUUCAGACAUUCGCAGCAUGCAAAACGCGCCGCGGAAUUCGCGAGCAAUGUGGCUGCACAUAUCCGCCCGUCGGGCCGUCCGCCUCUGGAUCGCACGCGGUGCGAUUGUUAACAUAUCGCUGAAUUAAUAUUACACACUUUGCCGGCGUUAAUUACUUCCAUCGAAAUUGUCGGAAAUUCAUAUAAAAUAAAUCAUUUGAUUUAUUUACUGCA